rnacentral:lncRNA from 1 species
CCUGGCCCGCCCCCGCCGGCCGAGCUCCCCGCCCCCGGGACUCGCCGGUUCCCUGGCUUCUGGGACCCUGUGCCCAGGUGACCCGCCACCACCAUUGCCACUGAAUCUCCGACACCCUUGCCGGGGACCCCCUCCAGGAAAGCCGGGCAGCGUGAGUGCGUCGGAGAGGUGCGAGGAAAGAAGCUGUCAAGAGCCAGGACCCAAGCAGCUGUAGCCCCAGCCAGGAAGCAUCUCUAACGAAACUCGGGAGCACUGUCCAGGCCUGCCUCAGGGUGACAGGAAUGGGCCCAGGCGAGGGGCGCGGAGGAUGGUAACAGGGCCGUCCCUUCAUGGGCCCGAGAGAAACUUCCCUUGGUCGGCGCGCUCCCUGGAAUAACGGUGGUACUGGCUAUUUGCCUCAGGCGCCUCCCGAGCUCAGAGCUAGAUUGUGCCAGCAGUUCCUAGCGCUGCCCCAAAGUAAAAGAGCGGCAGUCCUUAGGUGGUGCAAAGGACUAGACUUCAGGUGUUCCGGGCUUUAGGCCGUUGCAGCUAGUUUCAUUUGGGGACCCCCGGACUCAAGACUCUUCCCUAGGAUGCUGGCAGAAGCUGCUCUGGACAGGACUCAAGAGAAGGUGGAGGUCCUGAGGCUCCAGGAGGAGGCUUUGCAAUCCAAGAAAGCUGACCCAUGUCCUCUGUCCCUGAGCCCUGGCGGUGGCAGCUAUGCCCAGCCUUGCUCCUGCUUUUUGCACGUGUUUUCUAUUGGAGCGGUGGCGUGGCCCUCGUGGCCGCGGCCCAGUGCGCCUCUACUCGCCUCGGGGGCAAAGGGGAAUUUUCUUGAUUGACGCCCUCCUGCGGUGGUCACACCUCGCGGCGAGCUGUUUCUGCUAAGGUUCUCUAUUAGUCGUGUAUAUAGAAAGACUUCUCGAGCUUUUUCUGUGUGUCUUUUUCUGUGUAGGGGUUAAUUUACAUCCUUGAAAUAUUAUUUCUUCAACUGCAGUGGGUCCGAAGUAGGAAGAGUUGACUGGGAGCCGGACAUCCUGGAUUCGAGUUUCACUUCUUACAUUUUGAGCAAUUGUUGUGUGCCAGCAGUGAACAAGACAGAUCUAAUCCCUGAAUUCACGGAGACAGGAAACAUUUAACUCUAAUAUAUAUAUGUGCAGGAAUCUUAUAACAAGGGACAUCACCUAGUUGUGGGGGCAGGGAGGAGGGAAGAGCAUUAAGGAAAGCAAAGGCUUCCCCACAGAAGCUAUGUUUGAAAGAUGAGUAGAUGACAACAAGCUAAAGUCAGAGGACCAACAUCCAAGUCCAGAGAAUAGCAUGUGAGUGUUAGCUCAUGCAGCUUUGGUAAAUUUACCACCCUGGACUUUUCUCAUCUGAAACAUUUGACCUAAAGGGUCCUCCUAAUCGUUCUGGGAUAGGUCAUAGGCAUCUUUCAGAAUCUAAUGACAAUGAAGAGCUACAAGUACAGACAAACCCAGUAAAUGUAUAUGUUAUAAUUUUCAAAAUACUGGGGACCAGUAAGAAUAUAUCUGUGUAUUUGCUUUAUUACAUAAACUAUAUAUGGAAGAAUAACAGAAAAUUAAUACCUUUGGCUGUCCAUGAAGAGAGGGAUGAGAUCGGAGGGAGAAUAUACCUCUUGAAUAUUUGGAGAAUUGAGCCAUCGGCAUCUGUGAUCCAUUCAUGGAGUAAGUCCUUGAAGUAACUAAUUCUAGGUCUAGGAAGAUACAAGAAGUGUUCAUGGAUACCCUUUGUCAGAAACCAUGGAAAGAAAACAGGCUGCCUUGAAGGGACUCCCACUGGCUGAACUUGGGAAGAUUUAAGCUUCAAAAAUACAUUAUAGAUUAUUACACUUUAAUUAUAACAAUUCAUGAAUCCAUAGUGAUGCAUUUUUAAGUAUAUUUUUUAGUUGUUGAUAGACUUUUAUUUUAUUUAUUUAUAUGCGGUGCUGAGAAUCGACCCCAGUGCCUCACACAUGCCAGGCAAGUGCGCUACCACUACUGAGCUUCAGUCCCAGCCCCUAUAGUGAGAAAAAGGGAUGGUGGAUGGGAAAACUGCAAGAAUUCCUUCUAACAAAUGUAGAAAAUUUGCUAAAAUUGGAAAAUAUAAUAAUUCAUUUAAGAAAAAAAUCAUUGAACACCUCAACUCAUGGGUAAAAUGUUAAAGAUGAGGAUUUCCGCAAGGUCUCAUAGUAUCACCCCAAUUCAUUGGAUUCUGGGUUUUUUUAAAACCCAUGGGAAAUUUAAUAUGAAUUAUAUGUUAGACAACAGUAUUAAUAUCCUAUGUGUGAGUUAUAUGAGAAAAUGUUCUUAUUUUUGGAAGAUGCAAACUAAAGUUUUUAGUGGUGAUGGGUCAUAAUAUCUGCAACUUACUUUCAAAUAUUUUAACAUACAACACAUGUGCACACAUUGUAUAUACGCCUAUGUAUACCAUCUGUGUAAGUAUGCAUAGAUAUAUACAUGAAGAGGGAGGUAAACCAAAUAUAGAAAGUUAUUAUUUGGUGGCUUGAGGUGAAGAAUAUAUGGAUUUUUAAGUUAAUUAUUUAUUUUAAUUGGUAUAUAUGACAGCAGAAUGCAUUUUGAUUCAGUGUACACAAUUGCAGCAUGACUUUUCAUUUCUCUGGUUGUAUACGAUGUAGCAUCGCAUUCUAUGAGAGAAUAUGGAUGUUUGUUGUAGUAUAGUUUCAGCUUCCCUGUUUUCAAUAUAAAAACUGGGAAAAAAUAAGCAUGAUUUUGUCUUUUAAAAUGAAUGUACCACCUCAUUCUGUAAAGGUAAAAAUUUUUGAAUUAUUUGUUAAGUCUGUGUAUAAUUUCAGGUAGUGCCUUGCCCCUGGAAAACAUCAGUGAGGGGACUGGAUUGGAGAAUCUUCAAUCUCUGUGGGUAACUCUGAUGUUUGUUAGUUCCACCAGCAUCAUUAUCAUGUGGCCUGAUGGAGAAUUAGGUAUUUUCUUCGGUAUUCCAGGGACAGGCACAGGCUCUGAGGACUAAGAAAGGACAGUAUCAUCUAAUGUUCAAAUGUGACUUCUAAAGUUAUAUUUGAGUUUUCAAAGAGUGAGACCUCAGCGAACUAAGCAGAUAAUUAAUUGUUUUUCUCACAGAAGGUUUCCCCUCCUAUGUUUUUCUCCUUUUCCCUGUCCCUUCUAUCUAGCAAGUAACUGGGAUGAUUCCUCUAAUGCAUUUAAUGCCUUUACAGAAAUUACUAUUGAACUUUCAUUUUCCAUCUUCAAAAAUAGUAUGUGUUGGGCCAGGGACCGUGGCACACUCCUGUAAUCUCAGCGGCUAAGGAGUCUGAGGCAGGAGGAUCUCGUGUUCAAAGCCAGCCUCAGCAAAAGUGAGGUACUAAGCAACUCAGUGAGACCCUGUCUCUAAAUAAAAUGCAAAAUAGGGCUGGGGAUGUGGCUCAGUGUUCGAGUACCCCUGAAUUCAAUCUCUGGGACUCCACCCCCCUACAAAAAUUGGUAUGGGUUGGGCUGUGGAUAUAGCUCAGUGGCAGAGUGGUUGCCUAGCAUGCAUGAGGCCCUGGGUUCAAUCCCUAUACCGCCAAAAAAAAAAAAAAGAGUAUGCAUUUAUAGUACUUGUUUAUUCUGUGCUUGAUGCAGCCACCAUCCAAAAAGGUCUAAAUCUCUAAACUUUCAAAAAUGAAUAUUAGACAUGCUAAGAAAAUAAUCAAUAAUAUAGAACUAGUAAAUAGUCACUAAUAAAGGAAGACCAUUACUUUCUUUGAUGUAGCCAUAGGCCCUGGGAAAUGGAUGGAGAUCUUAAAGUCAUUGGUAUAACAUUCCAACUCAGCUACAUAAUCCUCACCAACAAAUUGAAGCACUUAAUUCUUUUAAGCUAUAUAACACUACCUUUUCUAAAUCCAAUCAUCAGAUCCAUGUUCACUUUGCUGUUGUUUAAAAAAAUUACAACCACAUUUGUGAAUGUCACAUUUAUUGAACUACAUAAUAUUUAAUAUCACUUGUGUAGGUUUUAUAGUUUGUUUUAUUGUUUUAAAAGUCAUUUGGGGCUCUAAAAGAACUAGAUUUUUCCAAAGUUGUCCUUAUGAUUUUUUUCACACAGUCAGAACUAAUAAAACAAAACUGUUGUAGCUAUUUAAUUCAAAAUCUCUUGGAGUUUCAAUAUUUUUUCUCUGCUGGAUACUAAAACCAAUAAAGCUACAUGAGAUUUUAAUUAUAUACCGAAUUAAACAAGACUCCAAAAAUUUGGCACCAUUUAUUCUAGUCAUUGCUAUUGUGCAAGGAACCAAAUUUUGUAAGAAGAAAAGGUAGUUCUCACCUCUAAUUUAUCAAGUAGGAAUUUAGGUGUUUUGCAACUUAUUUUCAAUAAUUAAAUAUAUGUAGAGGUAAAAUGUCAAAUUAGCUAUAGCUUGAAAGCAUCAGUACAUUUUGUUAUAGCAACUUAAUUCUGUUUGAUAAUACAAGUUUUAUUACCUUCAACUGUUGGAAUGGCA